UACGAAGGGGGCUAGCGUUGCUCGGAAUACUGGGCGUAAAGCGUGCGCAGGCGGUGAUGUAAGACAGGUGUGAAAUCCCCGGGCUUAACCUGGGAACUGCAUUUGUGACUGCAUACGCUAGGAGUACGGGUAGAGGGGGAUGGAAUUCCGCGUGUAGCAGUGAAAUGCGUAGAUAUGCGGAGGAACACCGAUGGCGAAGGCAAUCCCCUGGGCGAC
rnacentral:rRNA from 1 species